CAAUACCUACGUCCACUCAGUAUUGAUAAACAGUUUGUGGGGACUACAGUGUUUGCGUUUCAAAUAUAAACUUAUUUAAAAUACAUCAAGAUGUGUUGUGUGUGUAACCUGCUCUGCAAGAUCAUCAGCUUAAUUGUUUCCAUCCUGAGUAUUGUGCUCGUUAUACUACUCAUUCUAUGGUUGGUUGGCGUAAUCUUCCAGAAUGAUUCUAACGGUUCUGCUACAUCCACAAACGAACUCGUCAAAAGCGCUGGCGCAUAUAAAUAUUCAGCCAUCGGAGCAUCGUUCACAUAGUGUUUAACUUGAAUAAUUAUAUUUUCUUACUAGCCGUUAUCUUCUCUUUGUGUAGCCUAGAGAGUCAGUCGAAACUUUUUAUGGCAUAAAAGCUCACCAACUGGCUCUUCUUAUUUAUUUAAACUUCUGUGACUAUAGAUGUAUUUUUAUAACCUAGCAAGUCUAUGUUAUAGUUACAUGUAUAUAAGUGCACAGUUGCGUCUAUAUUUUUGUAUUCUUACCUUCUAUAUACUAAUAUACCUAUUAACAGAUAGCCUGGGAAAAUAAAUAUGGUUAAUCAGAGAGAGAAAAACUUACGCAGAGAAGUACUUCAUGAAACGCAAUAUUUACCGCUAUAAAACAAUACAAAUAAAGCCAUAUUGCAAAUUAGAGGCGGCUUCAUACCUACAGAAUAUUUAGUAUUUCAUGGCAUUAUUUUUGUAACCGUUGACAUCUUUUGAAAAUCGUUUGAUAAAAAAAAUCAUUAGGUAUUUCCCUAAAGAGGCAAAUUUUAACGUACACUGACAUCUAAAUGAUAUGUACCUAAAUUAUGUCAUUUAAGUAGUUAUCAGUCGCGCCAGGAUUUCGCUCGUACAUGUAUUCGCGCGAGCCAGACGCACGGGCGAAUAAGAACAAACUGACAUCAUUUUGAAGUCUGUAUUGUCAUCCCAGGCAUUUUUCUUUUCCAUUGUCAACUAACCAAAACGAAUGUUUUGUCUUUUUUCGUCUAAGUUAUAAGUUAUUUUUGUAUGAUUUGUUAAAUAAAUAUUUAUAAGUACAU